rnacentral:rRNA from 1 species
UUGCCAGCAUUCAGUUGGGCACUUUAAAGAGACUGCCGGUGUUAAACCGGAGGAAGGUGGGGAUGACGUCAAGUCCUCAUGGCCUUUAUGCUUAGGGCUACACACGUGCUACAAUGGGUGGUACAAAAAGAAGCCAACUCGCGAGAGCGCGCCCAAUCUCAAAAAAGCCAUCCUCAGUUCGGAUUGGAGUCUGCAACUCGACUCCAUGAAGUUGGAAUCGCUAGUAAUCGCGGAUCAGCAUGCCGCGGUGAAUACGUUCCCGGGCCCU